rnacentral:lncRNA from 1 species
CAGUACUGGUCAUCUCACUCCGACUUGGAAGCAGUUAAAGAAAGCUUCAUAGAAGACAUUUCUAAAAGUGUCCUGGAUCAUAAGAAAGGUUUCAAUAAGGAAGGAAAAGGAAAUGAAAGGGAAGAAUGGCCCACUCAGGAACAACAUCAUGAGAAAAGGCCUGCAGACAAGAAAGUGUGCUGUGUACUGAGACAAAAAGUAGUUUGCCGUAUGUGGAGAAUGGGAGCUAGAGGGAAGGAAGAUAAAGAGACUGAAGGUAAAGAGAGAAAGAAAAACUGAUAGAAAAGGUUUCCUGAGAAGAAAUGAGAUAUAGAAUCCAAAACACAGAGGGAGGAAUUAGCAGAUGAUGAACACCUUUUCUGUUGUACCAGAAGAAAACAGUAGGCACAAACGUGGUGCAGAGAAACCUCUCCUUAAAAUGGUAGCAUCCACUUUACGAGUUAAGAAGAGUAAGAAGUGAGCAACACAUGGCAUUCUAUUACGGCAUUGCAAGUUGCGGCAAUGAUUUCUUUGUUGUCUUGAUAUCAAAAUUUAACUCUAUCAUGGUAUAAAUUGAUCUUGUCAUUGUGACCCAUGAACAUUUACUGAAUAUUUAUGAUAUGUUUACCAAUGAGAAUGCAAAGAGGUCUCAGACUCUUUAUCUCAAGAGGCUUAUCUAUUUAGGGGGAAAAUGCAUGUAUAUUAAAGAAUUCCAGAUAGUAUAGUCUACCAAGUCUAGAGUUUAUUUAUUUCACUUAUAAGCUAUAGAAUGAACCUGUAAUGCUUUCCCAGAAGUGUAGCAGAAGAUACAAGAUCCUGGGUCAGAAAUGAAGGAUUUUGUGAUUUACAGCACAGCAAGCAGCAGUGGAGUUUGGGGAGCCCACUGCUUUUCCAACAAGCAGAAAGUUAGCCUGAUCUUUGUUGAAGGCGGAUACAUUACCUCAUCUUGCAGGUAACCAGCUGCAUAAACAAGUGUGAGAAAUGGCCUGAGUAUCAGGGCCUUGCAGUCUUGGCUCACCCAGCAAGACAUGUAGGAACUCAAGAAGCCCAAGGAAGGCUGCCUCCUCCAACACAGGCAGAAAGUCAAAUGGUCAAUACCAGUGACAGCACCACUGAAGUUUGGAAAUCAGAAAUAACAGGACAUUCAUGACAUAGGGGAAAUGGAUUUUUUUUUCAUGAAUAUAAACCAAAAAUAAAAUUCUAAGCCCCUCAACCAUCUGAAUGGACCGCUCCUUUUGGCCAGGGCACUCCAAAGUUAAUCUGAAAAACUAAUUCAAGCCAUGAUAGGAAGUAGGGGUCAGACAUGCCUCAUUAAACUCUCCUCCCUUUUGGAAUUCAGGAAAAACUGGACUAGCAUUAACAACACAGACCUUAAGUCUGAUAAACAUUUACAAUCUGUUCUCUCUGAAGCCUACUACCUGGAGGCUUCAUCUGCAUAAUAAAACCUUGAUCUCCACAACCCCUUAUCAUAACUCAGACAUUCCUUUCUAUUGAUAAUAAUUCCUUCAACCAAUUACCAAUCAGAAAAUUUUAAAAUCUAUCCAGGACCUGGAACACCCACCCCUACCUCCUCAUGCUUUGAGUUGUCCUACCUUUCCAGGUCAAACCAAUGUACAUCUUACAUGUAUUGAUUAAUGACUUGUGUCUCCCUAAAAUGUAUAAAAGCAAGCUGUACCCCUACCGCCUUGGGCACAUGUCAUCAGGACCUCCUGAGGCUGUGUCACAGGUGCAUCUUUAACCUUGGCAAAAUAAACUUUCUAAAUUGAUUGAGUCCUGCCUCAGAUACUUUUGGGUUCACAUUACAAAAACGAAGAAAAGAUUACUGCCUAUAGUAAAAUAUUUAUUAUUAGCUUACCUCAACAGGCAGCAGUGGUUU